CUGCCCCAGCCCCACUGCCCGCUCGGCCCCGGCUGUGCCCAUUCUCGCACCUUCCCUUGCUUUAUUAAUUCCCCCGUUUCCCAAGGGGCCGUCACAGCUCUUCGCAGCCAUCGCUCGCCGCCGGAGAGCUGCGGGCCGGUAGGGGGGCGGCUCCGGCGAGUGGGAGCCGCGGGGCUGCGGGACCCCUGCCCGGCGGCGGUACCUGUAGAAGUAGUGCCAGCAGAAGAGGCAGCAGAGGAGGCGGCAGCCGAGCGGCUCGAGGCGGGGCGGGCUGCGCAGGGCCAGCAGCAGCGCGGGCACCAGGAAGGAGGGCAGCUCCUGCAGGAACCAGGCGCAGCGCGCUGGCAGCCGACCCCGCGGCCGGCACAGCCGCUCCUCGUGCUUCCCGUAGCAGGAUGGCACCCGGAGCUGAAGAUCUACAAUCCAGCAUCUGAAGUUCCAGCAGGAACUGGAGAGGAGACACAAGGAGAGUUCAUGGACUGAGCAGAGAGCAGUGGCUGCUGGAUCUGCAAGGCAAGAAAUGCUUGUUGAUCUCAUGAGUCAGUCCCAGGAGAUGGCAGACAUGACUAAAAGGCUGGAAGACACGACACAUGAUACAGGAAGAAAACCAAAAGAACUGGACGAUAGCUGAAAAGACCUUGAGAAUAUUUAUUCAGUGAUUAUGCCAGGAAAAGGGCAUGAAGGAAAAAGACAGACCAUGGACACGGCACCUUUUUGCUCCACUUCCUCCAUAACUGCUGCUCCUGUGCAGGGAGUCUUUGGAAAUCUCACACAGAGCUGAGAGACAGCUGUCUCACUGAUCUCAGCCUCAAGACAAGGAGACCAGACCCUGGUGUAUAACUGCCAUUCUUCAUUACUCACGUACCAAAGCAAUAGUACCAGUGCAAUAGUUUGCUUGGCUCAGAGCUGACAUUGUCUUACUAUUGCUGAAGUGAAUAAAAGCUUUUUGUUUCGUGA